AGUCGGUGAUGAUGAAUAAAAGGUCUGAUUGCUCAAGUGCACGUCCCCAGCACCUUUGCUCCAGCAAGCCCCCGUGCAUUUUCUAUGCUGCUCUAGCCGUGCUGUGAUGGCAGUAACUGAUGUAGCUGCUUCAGUUCAUGUUUCUGAGAGAGAUUUAGAGGGUGUUGACAGUGGGAUCUGACAAGCGCUACUCAGGGACACUGGGUUCUGAGGACUGAAUCUGGUGUAUGACUGUAAACCACAAGCUGAGCCA
rnacentral:snoRNA from 1 species